UACGUAGGGGGCUAGCGUUGUCCGGAUUUAUUGGGCGUAAAGAGCGUGUAGGCGGCCAGGUAGGUCUGCUGUGAAAACUCGAGGCUCAACCUCGAGACGUCGGCGGAAACCAUCUGGCUAGAGUCCGGAAGAGGAGAGUGGAAUUCCUGGUGUAGCGGUGGAAUUCGUAGAUAUUAGGAAGAACACCAGUGGCGAAGGCGGCUCACUGGUCCGGAACUGACGCUGAGGUGCGAAAGCGUGGGGAGCAAACAGG
rnacentral:rRNA from 1 species